UUUUUUUUCUUAUUUAACGUUUGUAAAAGCCUGACUUCUGAUAGUUUAACUUAUUUUUGCUUAAACCUUGCGUCCCUGUGGAUACUUUUGUGCAUAUGUAUGUUUUUGACUCGCCUGCAUUUUGUUUCGACUAUAUUUUGACAAGAAACUUAUCUUCAGUGGAUAUUUUAAUUUUUUAGCAUGAAUAAUCAAAGACCUCCACGAUUGAAACAGCUGUCUGGAGCUGCUGGGAGAAAAAGAGCGAUGAUUCGGAAAAAAAAAACGAAAGCAAAAACAAACGAACGCUUUUAGAUUGCGUUCGUUGGACAAAAAUCGAAGAUAAAUGCAAGCAGUUCAAUGAUAUUGAGAUCGGUAUCAAUGACUCUAAUGAGUUGCCAGACCAUAAUUCCGACAAACUUUUUCUUGCCGAUGACAUCGAUGACUCCCAAAAAACAUCAUCACAUUUAAAAAAGGAUCAGUUGGAUUUUGUACUUGAUUGUCACAAUGACCAACAAAUUUAUAAAAGUGAUCUUUCUAUACCAAUCUCUAACAAUCCUGCUCUAUGGAAAUCAAUAUCAGACACUGAUCGAACGAAUAUAAUUCUGAUGGGACCUUCUUCAAAUCCUAGCAAUUUUCCAAGAGAUCAAAAAGAACGCAAAUUCCCUACUUAUAUCUUUUUAGAGGAACAAAGAAACGGAAAAAAAGUUAAAAGAGAUUGGCUCGUUUGGA